rnacentral:rRNA from 1 species
GACAGAGGGUGCAAACGUUGUUCGGAAUUACUGGGCGUAAAGCGUGUGUAGGCGGCUGUGAAAGUCGGAUGUGAAAGCCCCGGGCUCAACACGGGAAGAGCACCCGAUACUGCACGGCUUGAGUACCGGAGAGGUUGGCGGAAUUCUCGGUGUAGAGGUGAAAUUCGUAGAUAUCGAGAGGAACACCGGCGGCGAAGGCGGCCAACUGGACGAGUACUGACGCUGAGACACGAAAGCGUGGGGAGCAAACAG